rnacentral:misc_RNA from 1 species
AAAAAAAAAAAGACCCUACCAAAUUCCGCAGCAUAUGGCCUCAUUCUUCACGUGUAAUCAACUCUAUAUGUCCCCAUCACAAGAGAGAUGCUUUUGAAGGAUUUCUUUCUAUGUAUUUUAAUUACUUUCUCAGUCCAAUAUUGAAGCAAGAUUACCACUGAGUAGCAAAGGCACCUUCAAAUUAAUCGACCUCAUUUGCCUAGUUUCAGUAAGUUAGGAGUUCAAAUCCUGACAACCUCUCCAAUUUUCAGAUGUACCAAGUUAAUGAAACCUGUUUAAUAAUGGAGCACACGUUAUUACUUGUGAGAAACAUGUGAUUCUUCUGUUUCUUCACAGAAAUAUGGGUCUCAAGACUGAAAGAAUCAAAUCCACAAAUCAGGGCCAAUCUUUUUUGGUACAAAACGGAUCCAAUAAUGGUUUGAAGAACAAGGGAUGAUACAUGAAUAAUGACACACAAGUGGUACGUAAAGGGUACAGGACCUAUACAUCUGUUCUGUUGACGAUGAGAUGCAGACAUGACACCAAACUUCCAAAUUGAUUUUAGCAUCUUCAGCCUGCAAGUGUAAGGGAAAUGCAACUGCAAAUGGUAAUCUAUAAUUCACUUUUUGUCUAAGCAAAGCAACAACAUCAUCAUUUCUCUCUUUAUAUAUUCUCUCUUUCAAGUUUCUUUCCUUAUAGCUCUAUUUUCUUUGUUCUUUAGUAGCAGUACUGCACCUACUAUGAAUCUAUCCCAUUUCUUCAAAUGGGUUGGCUUCAAUCCUUCUUCUCUCCAUUGAAGAAGCUGUGGU